rnacentral:rRNA from 1 species
UACGGGGGGAGCAAGCGUUGUUCGGAUUUACUGGGCGUAAAGGGCGCGUAGGCGGUCAGCACAAGUCAGUUGUGAAAUCUCCGGGCUUAACUCGGAAAGGUCAACUGAUACUGUGCGACUAGAGUGCGGAAGGGGCAACUGGAAUUCUCGGUGUAGCGGUGAAAUGCGUAGAUAUCAGGAAGAACACCAAUGGCGAAGGCAGCUCUCUGGGACGGUACUGACGCUGAGACGCGAAAGCGUGGGGAGCGAACAGG